rnacentral:ncRNA from 1 species
GGGUAGAGGCGCGAUAUUUAACAGUUUCCGGCGGAGCUUGAGCAGGUGAAGAGGCCGGGGAGAAGGAAAUGUCGCCGAAGCGGGGUACAGGCUCACUGUACGCUGCUGGGUCUGCAGUUAAGAGCUGCAGGACUGUCUUGGUAGAUGACC